rnacentral:rRNA from 1 species
CCUACGGGUGGCAGCAGUGGGGAAUAUUGGUCAAUGGGCGGAACCCUGAUCCAGCGACGCCGCGUGAGUGAAGAAGUAUCUCGGUAUGUAAAGCUCUAUUAGCAGGGAAGAAAAUGACGGUACCUGACUAAGAAGCCACGGCUAACUACGUGCCAGCAGCCGCGGUAAUACGGAGGCGGCAAGCGUUAUCCGGAUUUACUGGGUGUAAAGGGAGCGUAGGCGGUGCAGCAAGUCUGAUGUGAAAGGUAGGGGCUCAACCCCGGGACUGCAUUGGAAACUGUUGGACUGGAGUACAGGAGAGGUAGGCGGAAUGCCUGGUGUAGCGGUGAAAUGCAUAGAGAUUAGGAGGAACACCGGUGGCGAAGGCAGCUUACUGGACUGUAACUGACGUUGAGGCUCGAAAGCGUGGGGAGCAAACAGGAUUAGAUACCCCGGUAGUC